rnacentral:rRNA from 1 species
UCGGGAAUUUUGGGCAAUGGGCGAAAGCCUGACCCAGCAACGCCGCGUGAAGGAUGAAAUCCCUCGGGAUGUAAACUUCGCAAGAAUGGGAAGAAUUAGCGAGCGCUAAUACCGCUCGUGAUGACGGUACCAUUUGUAAGCUCCGGCUAACUCCGUGCCAGCAGCCGCGGUAAUACGGGGGGAGCAAGCGUUGUUCGGAUUUACUGGGCGUAAAGGGCGCGUAGGCGGUCAGCACAAGUCAGUUGUGAAAUCUCCGGGCUUAACUCGGAAAGGUCAACUGAUACUGUGCGACUAGAGUGCGGAAGGGGCAACUGGAAUUCUCGGUGUAGCGGUGAAAUGCGUAGAUAUCGAGAGGAACACCUGCGGCGAAGGCGGGUUGCUGGGCCGACACUGACGCUGAUGCGCGAAAGCCAGGGGAGCGAACGG